rnacentral:rRNA from 1 species
UCAGUAACACGGGGACUAUCUGCCUGAAGAAGAGAAUAAUCCCGGGAAACUGGGGGUAAUGCUCUAUAGUCCGGAACAACUGGAAUGUUUUCCGGAUGAAAGAUCCGUCGCUUCAGGAUGAGUCUGCGGCCGAUUAGGUAGUUGUUGGGGUAAAAGCCCAACAAGCCCGUAAUCGGUACGGGUUGUGGGAGCAAGAGCCCGGAGAUGGAUUCUGAGACACGAAUCCAGGCCCUACGGGGCGCAGCAGGCGCGAAAACUUUACAAUGCGGGCAACCGUGAUAAGGAAACCCCGAGUGCCAGCACAGGCUGGCUGUCCACCAGUGUAAACAACUGGUGAAGAAAGGGCUGGGCAAGACCGGUGCCAGCCGCCGCGGUAAUACCGGCGGCUCGAGUGGUGGCCGCUUUUACUGGGCUUAAAGGGUCCGUAGCUGGAUUCACAAGUCCCUUGAGAAAUCUAUCGGCUUAACUGAUAGGCGUUCAGGGGAUACUGUGGUUCUAGGGACCGGGAGAGGUGAGAGGUACUGCCGGGGUAGGAGUGAAAUCCUGUAAUCCCGGUGGGACGACCUAUAGCGAAGGCAUCUCACCAGAACGGCUCCGACAGUGAGGGACGAAAGCUGGGGGAGCAAACCGGAUUAGAUACCCGGGUAGUCCCAGCUGUAAACGAUGC